CCUACGGGUGGCAGCAGUGGGGAAUAUUGCACAAUGGGGGAAACCCUGAUGCAGCGACGCCGCGUGGAGGAUGAAGGUUUUCGGAUUGUAAACUCCUUUUGUUAGAGAAGAUAAUGACGGUAUCUAACGAAUAAGCACCGGCUAACUCCGUGCCAGCAGCCGCGGUAAUACGGCGGGUGCAAGCGUUACUCGGAAUCACUGGGCGUAAAGAGCGCGUAGGCGGGAUAGCAAGUCAGAUGUGAAAUCCUAUGGCUUAACCAGAGAACUGCAUUUGAAACUGUUAUUCUAGAGUAUGGGAGAGGUAGGUGGAAUUCUUGGUGUAGGGGUAAAAUGCGUAGAGAUCAAGAGGAAUACUCAUGGCGAAGGCGACCUGCUAGAACAUAACUGACGCUGAUGCGCGAAAGCGUGGGGAGCAAACAGGAUUAGAUACCCGAGUAGUC
rnacentral:rRNA from 1 species